GCCCCGCCCCAGCGGAAGGGGCUGGGCUCCCGCCGCGGCGGCCCUCGGCGGGUCGGCGGCGCACGAAAAUAACCCAGGCUGUCCCCAAAACGAACAUAAAUAAGCAGUAAGAAGAGCGUAACUGAUCACAGAGCCCAGGAUGGGUAUCUGUCUUCUUCUGUUAAUUGUAGGGGUUUGCUGGGGGCAGUACAACCCCAAUACUCUCUCUGGGAGGACGUCUAUUGUACAUCUGUUUGAAUGGCGCUGGGCUGAUAUUGCUCUUGAGUGUGAACGCUAUUUAGCUCCUAAUGGAUUUGGAGGAGUUCAGGUUUCACCUCCAAAUGAAAAUAUUGUCAUUACUAAUCCAAACAGACCCUGGUGGGAAAGAUACCAGCCCAUCAGCUACAAACUCUGCACUCGAUCAGGAAACGAAAAUGAAUUCAGAGAUAUGGUGACCAGAUGCAACAAUGUUGGAGUUCAUAUUUAUGUGGAUGCUGUUGUCAAUCACAUGUGUGGGGCUGCAGCUGGCUCAGGCACACAUAGUACCUGUGGCAGCUAUUUUAAUGCUGGGAACAGAGAAUUUCCAGCUGUACCAUACUCUGGCUGGGAUUUCAAUGAUGGCAAAUGUCGAACUGGAAGUGGAGAAAUUGAAAAUUAUGGUGAUAUGUAUCAGGUCCGGGACUGCCGCCUGGUUAGCCUUCUUGAUCUGGCCCUGGAGAAGGACUAUGUACGCUCAAAAGUUGCUGAGUACAUGAACUACCUCAUUGAUAUUGGCGUGGCAGGCUUCCGAAUUGAUGCUGCCAAGCAUAUGUGGCCUGGGGACAUAAGAGCCUUUUUGGACAAGCUGAAAAAUCUGAAUACUAAAUGGUUUUCUGCAGGAACAAAACCUUUCAUUUACCAGGAGGUCAUUGACUUGGGCGGAGAGCCGAUCAAAGGCAGUGACUACUUUGGAAAUGGCCGAGUGACAGAAUUCAAAUACGGUGCAAAACUGGGGACGGUGAUCCGCAAGUGGAAUGGAGAAAAGAUGGCCUACUUAAAGAACUGGGGAGAAGGCUGGGGCUUUGUGCCUUCCGACAGAGCCCUGGUCUUUGUGGAUAAUCACGACAACCAACGGGGACACGGGGCCGGUGGAGCUUCCAUUCUAACCUUCUGGGACUCCAGGCUUUAUAAAAUGGCAGUUGGUUUCAUGCUUGCUCAUCCAUAUGGGUUCACACGUGUGAUGUCAAGUUUUCGCUGGCCAAGAUCUUUUGUAAACGGACAGGACGUCAAUGACUGGAUUGGACCACCAAGUAACUCAGAUGGAUCAAUAAAGCCUGUUACAAUCAAUGCAGACACUACCUGUGGCAACAACUGGGUUUGUGAACAUCGCUGGCGUCAAAUAAAGAACAUGGUUAUCUUCCGUAACGUGGUGGACGGUCAGCCUUUCUCCAACUGGUGGGACAAUGGCAGCAAUCAAAUAGCCUUUGGCCGUGGUAACAAAGGCUUCAUCGUUUUCAAUAAUGAUGACUGGACUGUCACUUUCUCACGUCAUAACUAGUGGCAGUGCAGUGGUGGGUUUUAAGGCAAGGCAGCACUCCAUUUGCCACAUCACAGAAACACGGGAGAAAAUAAAAUAAACAAGGAGGACCCAAACCAACACCUGGGUAAGUUACAGUGCUGUAUUUCUAAUGCUGAUAUACACACACACAGCUGUAUCUCAGAGCAGCCACACUGUGGGCAGCCAGCUACGAGCAGCACCUGCGCACACAGACAGUUUAUCUGAGUCUUGUGACAAACCAAACGCGGCGUGUGGGUCGGCAGAGGAGGCUGGGCUGGGCCAGUCACUUAUUCCAGCCUAUGACCUCAGUCAAGCCAGCGGGUUGACUGGUUCACAGUCAGUUUGUGCCUGUACAAAUCAGAUCAUGAGACAGUUUCCUUAGGUGUAAGUAAAACUUUGUGGGCCAGAUGUUCGCUGCAUUUAAAGAUCAGACCUGUAUCCCGACUUUGUUUUUUUGUUCCUUUUACUUCAAACUUUUUGGCACGUUGCCUUAUUAUUUGAGCACACAGGAUAUGAAGAAAGCAAGUGUCAUCAAGAGCAACACCAGGUCUUUCAGAUGAGUCAUGAAACCCAGAGUCACAUUCUGCUUUAUUGCUGGUCUUUACGUUGUUUUUAAUUGUCAAUCUUAAGUUUUAAGAAAUUUUUAUUGUUAUUUUUAUAAUUUCUGCUACUAUUCUGUAUGUAAAGUGAUGUCACAAAGACUUUAAUUUUGUAUGCCAGUAAUGAAUGAAAAAUUGAAAUCCUACUAUAAAAUUUAUGAAGUUUAAAGUGAGGUACUUAUUGGAGCACAACAGUAUGGCUAACAAACAGAUUUGCUGAGGUGUAAGACUAUAGAAUUUUGUGGGCAUUAUGUAACAUUUCAUUUUCUGUUGCAAAGUAGUACUCGCUUUCAUUCAUCAAAGAGUGAGUUUAACUGAGUAAUAUCAAAACCUGUUAUAGGCUGAUAUUCUAAAUUUUGUUGCAGUAUUGCUAGUCUCAGGCUUUCCGAAAUAAUAUCUCAAAUCCUAGAAAUUCUAAGCUUUAAAAGAAAGUAAUGGUUGGAAUUAGAGUUGGUUUUUAUUUUCAUUUCAAGUUUUGAGUUUUCCAGGUAUAUUCUCUUCUUGUUCUUAUAUUUUAUUUUGUAAUUUGGUCUAGAAUUUAAACGUGGAAAAAUUUCCCAAACCUAACCAGCUGGGAUUAAGUUCAUAAAAAUAAGUGUUUUCAUUUUCAGGGAUAUGCCAUGUAACUGAUUGGAAAAAUCUUGACUAUGACCAAAGGUAUACAAUAUUUACUGUGGUAAGAGGUGACUUCAGUUUUGGAAGAAGGAAAAGAGAAUAGAAAGAUGAUUUUUCUCCCCUUCUGUGCACUCUGAUGGCAGACACUUAAGGAUCUGAUGAUGAAGCUGUGGUAUUGUGAAUUGAGUCAUGGACAGUAGACUGUGCUGCAGGAUGCUUUUGAGUUCAGGGAUCUCAGCAGGAGACACCACCACUUCUGUAGCACUAAGCAGCAGUAUCAUGGCUCAUUCCUGGUGUGCAGCCUGGAGCCAGGGAGUUGCUUUGGAAGUGCUUAUAAUGCCAAUACUGUGGCUGGGGAGUAGCACAUGGUACCCACGUGGAAGAGUCUCAUAAAGAAAUCAUGAGAGCUGACAGGUUUGUUUGCUGUCUGAUUACAAAGCAGUCACAUAUGGAAUUAAAUAAUUAUUUUAAUUAAAGUAAUACUUGUCCUAAA